rnacentral:rRNA from 1 species
UGGCGGCAAGGCCUAACACAUGCAAGUCGAGCGGUAACAGAGAGUAGCUUGGUACUUUGCUGACGAGCGGCGGACGGGUGAGUAAUGCAUAGGAAUCUGCCUAGUAGUGGGGGAUAACGUUCGGAAACGAACGCUAAUACCGCAUAACGUCCUACGGAGAAAGUGGGGGACCUUCGGACCUCACGCUAUUAGAUGAGCCUAGGUCGGAUUAGCUAGUUGGUGAGGUAAUGGCUCACCAAGGCGACGAUCCGUAACUGGUCUGAGAGGAUGAUCAGUCACACUGGAACUGAGACACUU